UUUCUGAAAGCGGAAGAUGGGCGAGCCUGGCAGUAGAGACGCUUUCUGAAGGGGGUAGAACGGUUCGAGGUUUCGCGGACUGUUUACCUCCAGGGGUCGUUCGUGAGUCAGAGAAACCGGGCCUUUGGAGGGAGAGGGCCUGGCGACAGUCCUUCUGCGCUUGGCUGUGCAGCGUUCUGGCUGCUUCUGCCCGGCGCCACGAGGCCCGCCCCGUCCCUGCCCUCGCCCCCCUGCCCCGGCUCUGUCGGCCUGCGGGCGCUGCAGCCUCUCUCCCGCCGCCGGCGUGUCUGGAAAUGGAGGCCCAUAGCUAGAAGGUCCCGGGUACCCUUUGUUCCCAAACCUGCCUUGCCCGUCUUCCUCUGGGAAUUAGUGAGACCUUGGCCCUAAGGGCGUAACCCCCCCGGGGCUCCACGUGGGGGUCCCAUAGCUCUUCUGCUACUUCCAGCAGUGGCUGAGGGAGUCGAAGCUGUGGGUAGUGAGGACAGGUGUGGACAGUAGCAGGGAGGGGAAGGUCUGUGGUUCCUGACGUGCUGCCUCUGUUCCCAAGAAGAUAACUUUCCUAUGGCCCUUGCCCUCUGGCUAGUUAUGGCCCGUCCACCACGUGUCCUCAAAUGCCUGGACUCUGGAGAAAGGCAGCCUCCUUCCUCAGACCCCACGACGCUUGUCGGUCCCACUACCUGUUUUCACCUUUCCCCUCGGAGGCCACCUAGAGCACCUGGCUAGAAAUGGGAGCAACUGGUGGGAUUGGGAUUGAGAUAGGGAGUCUGCAGCAUUUGGAGGGAAGGAGUGGACUAAGAUGGAACUGCAGAACAUUUGAGGGACUGAAAGUUACUGGGGCAAAAUGGGAGGGUCAGGGAGCAGGGGUGAGGGAGCGAGGGAAUGAGACCCAUCAUCUCUGUAUGUCUCAAAAGGAAGAAACUUAGGUGUCUCUGAGCAGGCAGAUGAGGAACGCAUUUUUCAGAGCUCUGGUUCUCUGUGAGACACACAACCCAUAGUAAUUUAGUUUUGUUCCAAACGUGUUAAGUGAAGUGCACACCUAUUUGUUCCUAAGGAGCUACAGCUACUGGUAACUUCUACAAGACAGGUGCGUGAACUACAGACUUCCCAGCGUUGCCUGGCGCUCUCCCCUCCCUCCCCGCACCUACUACUAGUAAUUCGAUGUUGCCACAUUCCUCUGUGCUAGCUGUGGAGGUUCCUGAGACCCUUUUAGGGGAUCUGCAAGGGCAGAACUGUUUCACAAUAAUACUAAGAUUUGUUUACAUUUUUCAGUGUAUUGACAUUUAAACUUAAAGUGACAUGGAAAACUGCUAGCACCUUGGCGUGAAUCAAGGCAGUGGCAUCAAACUAUAUUUGCAGUUGUAUUUUUCACCAAAGCUUUUUAGGGGGGAGGGGGAGCCAGUUUCACUUAAGAAUGUUCUUCAUGAAGCUGUAAAAAGUAUUCAUUUUACUCCAUUUUGAACCUUGAGUAGAGGUCCUGUUGCUACCCUGUGUGACAGAAUGGGAAGUACGCAUGAAGCAGGCUUGCUGCAUACCAAGCCUUUGUGUCAUAUGGCACCUACCCACCCCUACUGCUGCGCGGGCUCCUGUGGGGAGACACUAGAGCCCUUCAUCUGCGGCACAGGCGGAGUGCGUGCAGACCCUGCGUGCUGGCCGCGGGGGACACUCACUGCUGAUGCUGGUCUCACCCUGUCUCUUCUCUGUGUGAGGAAAGUGGUGUUCUAUCCACUGCCUGUGUGAGUCGAGUCUUUCUUUGCAACCCUAACACCUGCAAACCAUGCAGUGGGUUGACAUCUUGGGACUGCUGGUCCUCUUGGCAGGUGGUAUACUACUUGCUGUCCUCUGUGAGAUGGAACUCCUGCCCUGGAGGUAGUAAUCGGUGUCAUGUGCUCAACAAAAAGCAGUUCUGUGCUUGUGUUGAUUUGCUGGCUGAACUAGAAUUUUUUUCCAGAAAAUGCCUCCUGUACUUGAAUGACUGACAGUGUGAUUCUUUGGACUUGGAUGUUUGGUAGACUUUUCUAGAAAACGAACAAAGUAAGCUUGUCACUUCAAGGGAAGCAAUUGACAUUAUUUGUUGCCAAUGAUAAAAUUUGGUCUUUCAAGCAAAAAUUAGAAUUUUGAAAAAUAUAUAUUUGCCAUAUAUCUUGACAGCUUCCCAGUACUUAAAAGAUUCUUCUGAUGAGCUUGGUGGUGAUAUUAGCAAAUGUGAUUUUUUUAUAUUGAAUAAUGAAAUGUGUCAACACUUGGAAGAUCUGCAUAAGCAGCCUAUUAGAUAUCUGUUGUUGCAUAACAAAUUACUCCUAAACAUAGUGAUUUAGAAUAACAAACACUUAUUAUCUCACAGUUUCUGUGUGUCAGGAAUUUGGGAGUGGCUUAUGCAGAUGGUUCUGACUUAGAGUUUCUCCUGCAGUGGCAGUCGAGACAUCUGUUGAGGCUGUGGCCAUCUGAAGGCUUGACUGGACCUGGAGAAUCUGCUUCCAAGAGGUGCACUCACGUGGCUGUUGGCAGGAGGCGUCACUGGACGGACCUCUCCACGGGGCUUUGAGGAUGCGCACAGCUUGGCAGCCAGCUUCUCCCAGAGCAAGUGAUCAGAGAGAGGGAGCAAGAUAGAAGCCUCAGUGUCUUUUAUGAUCUACCCUCAGAAGUCAUGCUCUGUAAUUUCCACCACAUUCUAUUCAUUAGAGUGAGUCAUAUGUACAGGCCACACUCAAAGAGAGGGAAAUUAAGCUCCACCUCUUAAAGGGAAGAGUACCGAAGAAUACGUGGACAUGUUUCAAUAACACUACACUUAGUGAACCAAUAUUUUCCAAAUGACUGUGUGAUGUUACAAUGCCAUGAUGCACAGAUAACAAAUCUAUUCUAAUUGCAAGAUAGCCCCAGGGAUUUUUAAUGUAACAGAGUAGGAAACAUUCAUUGAUGUAGUUUUAGAUCCCACAUUGCUUCUGACCUUUAAGAAGCUAUCAUUUGUUGAGUUCUGGUGUAGGAUCAGAGAAGAGUAUCCACAAUUAUCUGAAAAGGCUAUCAAAAUACUCCCCUUAUUUCCAACUACGUAUCCCUGUGAGGCCAAAUUUUUGUCAUAUACUGACAACAGCAUUAGAAUAGACCGGAAUGCAGAGGCAGAUAGGAGAAUCCAGCUCUCUUCUGUUAAGCCAGACAGAGAUUUGCAAAAAUGUACAACAGAGUGGCUCUUCUCACUAAUUAUUUUUGUUUUAGAAAAUGUGUUUUUCUUAAAAAGUGUGUGUGUGUGUGUGUACUAACAUGUAUUGGAUUUAUUAUUGUAAUUUGUAAAUGAAUUAAAUAUUUUUAAAUUUUCUCA